GAUGACGAGUGGCGCACGGGUGCGUAACGCGUAUGCAAUCUACCUUUUACUAGAGUAUAGCCCAGAGAAAUUUGGAUUAAUCCUCUAUAAUAUCUUUUAAUUUCAUGAUUUUAAGAUUAAAGUUUUAACGGUAAAAGAUGAGCAUGCGUCCUAUUAGUUUGUAGGUGAGGUAACGGCUCACCUAGACUACGAUAGGUAGGGGCCCUGAGAGGGGGAUCCCCCACACUGGUACUGAGACACGGACCAGACUCCUACGGGAGGCAGCAGUAAGGAAUAUUGGACAAUGGACGAAAGUCUGAUCCAGCCAUGCCGCGUGCAGGAUGAAAGCCCUACGGGUUGUAAACUGCUUUUAUACAGGAAGAAACACUCCGACGUGUCGGAGCUUGACGGUACUGUAAGAAUAAGGAUCGGCUAACUCCGUGCCAGCAGCCGCGGUAAUACGGAGGAUCCAAGCGUUAUCCGGAAUCAUUGGGUUUAAAGGGUCCGCAGGCUGUUUUUUAAGUCAGAGGUGAAAUCCUACAGCUCAACUGUAGAACUGCCUUUGAUACUGAAAAACUUGAGUUAUUGUGAAGUGGUUAGAAUGUGUGGUGUAGCGGUGAAAUGCAUAGAUAUCACACAGAAUACCGAUUGCGAAGGCAGAUCACUAACAAUAUACUGACGCUCAUGGACGAAAGCGUGGGGAGCGAACAGGAUUAGAUACCCUGGUAGUCCACGCCGUAAACGAUGGAUACUAGCUGUUCGUCUAACAUUGGUUAGAUGAGUGGCUAAGCGAAAGUGAUAAGUAUCCCACCUGGGGGAGUACGGUCGCAAGACUGAAACUCAAAGGAAUUGACGGGGGCCCGCACAAGCGGUGGAGCAUGUGGUCUAAUUCGAUGAUACGCGAGGAACCUUACCAGGGCUUAAA
rnacentral:rRNA from 1 species